rnacentral:rRNA from 1 species
UUAACGGAGAGUUUGAUCCUGGCUCAGGACGAACGCUGGCGGCGUGCCUAAUACAUGCAAGUCGAGCGGAGUUUCAAGAAGCUUGCUUUUUGAAACUUAGCGGCGGACGGGUGAGUAACACGUGGGCAACCUGCCCCUUAGACUGGGAUAACUCCGGGAAACCGGAGCUAAUACCGGAUAAUCCCUUUCUCCACCUGGAGAGAGGAUGAAAGAUGGCUUCGGCUAU